UGAUCCUGGCUCAGGACGAACGCUGGCGGCGUGCCUAAGAUAUGCAAGUCGAGCGACGAAUCUCGGUCAACCGAAGCUUGCUUUGGACGACUGGGUUGAAAGCGGCAAACGGGUGAGUAACGCGUAGAUAACCUACCUCAUACAUGGGAACAGCUCCGUGAAAGCGGAAUUAAUGCCCAAUAGCCUGGUGUGGUGAAAUUCCUAUCCAGUAAAGGGCCUACUUUACUACGGUUUUGUAGGUUGGUAUGAGAGGGGUCUGCGUCCUAUCAGCUUGUUGGUAAGGUAAUGGCUUACCAAGGCUAAGACGGGUAGGGGGCGUGAGAGCGCGGUCCCCCACAGUGGCACUGAAACACGGGCCACACUCCUACGGGAGGCAGCAAUUAGGAAUCUUUCGCAAUGGGGGAAACCCUGACGAAGCGACGCCGCGUGAAGGAAGACGGCCUACGGUUUGUAAACUUCUUUUAUUAGGGAGCAGGAAGGACAGUACCUAAUGAAUAAGCUCCUGCUAACUGCGUGCCAGAAGCCUCGGUGAUGCGUAGGGUGCAAGCGUUGUCCGGAUUUAUUGGGCGUAAAGUGACUGUAGGCGGUCAAGGAAGUUUUGUUUCAAAGACUCAGGCUUAACUUGAGGAAGGGACAAAAAACCACUUGACUUGAGGAAGGUAGAGGAAUACGGAAUGUGUGGUGGAGCGGUAGAAUGCGUUGAUAUCACACAGAACGCCAAAAGCGAAGGCAGUAUUCUGGACCUUUCCUGACGCUCAGAGUCGAAAGCCAGGGUAGCGAAACGGAUUAGAUACCCGUGUAGUCCUGGCCGUAAAUGUUGCUAGUUAAGUGUUGGUUUCGUCAAUUCGGAAUCAGUGCUGAAGUUAACGCGUUAAACUAGCCGCCUGAGUAGUACGACCGCAAGGUUAAAACUCAAAGGAAUUGGCGGGGACCCGCACAAGCAGUGGAGCACGUGGUUUAAUCCGAUGGUACUCGUAGAACCUUACCAGGGUUUGAAUGUAGCUGUGGUUCCUAAGAAACUAGGAACGUCUUCGAGAUCGCUACACAGGUGCUGCAUGGCCGUUGUCAGCUCGUGCUGUGAAGUGUACCGUUAAGUCGGGUAACGAGCGCAACCCUUGUCCUAUGUUACAAGUGUCUUAGGAGACCGCCGCGGUAAAACGCGGAGGAAGGAGGGGAUGACUUCUGGUCAGCAUGGUCCUUAUGCCCUGGGCCACACACGCGCUACAAUGGCUGGUACAAUGGGUUGCCAAACCGCGAGGUGGAGCUAAUCCCAUAAAGCCAGUCUCAGUCCGGAUUGCAGGCUGCAAUUCGCCUGCAUGAAUGUUGGAAUUGCUAGUAAUCGUGGAUCAGCCCAUGCCACGGUGAAUACGUUCUCGGGUCUUGCA
rnacentral:rRNA from 1 species